AGCCCUGUCGUCUAGCGGUCCAGGAUGUCGGGCUUUGGACCCGAAGACCCAGGUUCGAAUCCUGGCAGGGCUA
rnacentral:tRNA from 1 species